UGAGAAGCUGACCUUCUCAGAAAAGC
rnacentral:piRNA from 1 species